rnacentral:lncRNA from 1 species
UUGGCGUUGCAGAGUGAAGCCAUUAAACUCAAAGAGGGUAGUGAAGAACUGAAAUUAAAAAUCAGGGAGAAGGAUCACAGAGGGGAACUGCUAGAAAUUGAGAACUGUAACCUGGAAAAAGCAUUGCAGUUAGCAGAAGAUGAGUCGAAGAAUGUUAAAAGUAUGAGGGAUCAGCUCAAUCUUCAAGUCAAAAGCAUUGCAGUUAGCAGAAGAUGAGUUGAAGAAUGUUAAAAGUAUGAGGGAUCAGCUCAAUCUUCAAGUAAAUGAUGGCAAAAAUCUUUUGUUUGAGAAGGAUAUUGAGCUUCAGGGAAUGGAAGAGAAGCUUUAUCUUACUGAAACUGAGAAAUCUGUGUUGCAUCAAAUUUUGGAGAACUUGAGCAGAGAACUAAUUGGGAGUAAAAGAAUUGUGGAGGACCAAGAAAUAAAGAUCCUAAAGUUGUGUGCUGACAAUAGCCAGUUGAGCACAGAAAAAGAACACCUUUCCGAGGCCAGUCAAUUAUUGCGGGAAGGACUUCAGCAGUCUCGUGGAGAGCUUGAAAAACUGAAUAAUCUGUUGUUUGAGAAGAACAUUGAGCUUCAGGGAAUGGAACAGAAGCUUUAUCUUACUGAAACUGAGAAAUUGGUGUUGCAUCAAAUUUUGAAGAACUUGAGCAGAGAACUAAUUGGGAGCAAAAGAAUUGUGGAGGACCAAGAAAUAAAGAUCCUAAAGUUGUGUGCUGACAAUAGCCAGUUGAGCACAGAAAAAGAACACCUUUCCGAGGCCAGUCAAUUAUUGCGGGAAGGACUUCAGCAGUCUCGUGGAGAGCUUGAAAAACUGAAUAAUCUGUUGUUUGAGAAGAACAUUGAGCUUCAGGGAAUGGAACAGAAGCUUUAUCUUACUGAAACUGAGAAAUUG